GGAUAAAACAAAUAAUCAGCAAGUGGCUUACUGCAAUCUGUAGCAGGCAAAACAUAAUAACAAUUCAAAUAGGUUAAUGCAACUAUAAAAAACCAGAACAAAAUCUUGCCGUGCGAUGGAACCAACUGCUACUGAGUUAGCAAUGACUUGUACCAAGAGAUAAAAGGCUAUUAAACCUGCAAGCGGUGCUAGAACUGAGUAGUUUGUGUUUGUCCACAUAACUUCCUACCAUGAAUAAUAUAAUGAAAAAUUAACAAAAUCUCAGCAAUUUACACAGCAGAUCACUGCAGGUGCUGUGUUACUAGUAUUAUAAUGCAGGUGCUGUGUUCCUAGUAUUAUAAUGGUCUGGUUACAAUGUUAAAGAUCAUUCAAAACAUAUGCAUGGGUCAUUCUAAUUGCAAUGGUCAAUUAAAU
rnacentral:lncRNA from 1 species